GGGGAAUUUUGGACAAUGGGGGCAACCCUGAUCCAGCCAUGCCGCGUGAGUGAAGAAGGCCUUCGGGUUGUAAAGCUCUUUCAGCCGGGAAGAAAACGCACUCUCUAACAUAGGGUGUGGAUGACGGUACCGGAAGAAGAAGCACCGGCUAACUACGUGCCAGCAGCCGCGGUAAUACGUAGGGUGCGAGCGUUAAUCGGAAUUACUGGGCGUAAAGGGUGCGCAGGCGGUUUUGUAAGACAGAUGUGAAAUCCCCGGGCUUAACCUGGGAACUGCGUUUGUGACUGCAAGGCUAGAGUACGGCAGAGGGGGGUGGAAUUCCGCGUGUAGCAGUGAAAUGCGUAGAUAUGCGGAGGAACACCGAUGGCGAAGGCAACCCCCUGGGCCUGUACUGACGCUCAUGCACGAAAGCGUGGGGAGCAAAC
rnacentral:rRNA from 1 species